CAGCAGCCGCGGGAAUACGAAGGGUGCAAGCGUUAAUAGGAAUUACUGGGCGUAAAGCGUGCGUAGGCGGUGAGUUAAGUCUGCUGUGAAAUCCCCGGGCUCAACCUGGGAAUGGCAGUGGAUACUGGCUCGCUAGAGUGUGUCAGAGGAUGGUGGAAUUCCCGGUGUAGCGGUGAAAUGCGUAGAGAUCGGGAGGAACAUCAGUGGCGAAGGCGGCCAUCUGGGACAACACUGACGCUGAGGCACGAAAGCGUGGGGAGCAAACAGGAUUAGAUACCCGCGUAGUCCCUGUCUCUUAUAC
rnacentral:rRNA from 1 species